AAUUAUUAAAUCCCACGUUCAAAAAAAUAUCCCAAAUAACCACAACCAACGCCCGAUUAUACUCCCACGUUAUGCAGUAUAAAUGUCCAUACCUUAACCCCCUCCUCCUUAUACAAAUUCUGCUCUCAAAUUCACUUUGAAUCACAAAAUUCUCUCGAGGCAGCGGAAGAAGCAGCAGAAAAGAGUUAUCAUUCUUCCUAAUCCCCCACGAAACCGGGAAUCAAAUUCAGAGAAGAGGGAACAGAAACCACAAUCUCCUUUGCUCAAACUAAUCAAGAUCCAAUGGACAAUCGGUGAAUGUAUGAAAUAGAGAGAGCGAGAGAGAGGCACGAGCAGCAGCGGCGAUGCGACGUCGACUGCACCGUGACAGCAGCGGCGAGCGGACUGCGCAGCCCACGACGGCGGUGGAGAAAGCAAGACAACGCUGUGCAAUUGAAACGGAAAAGAUUGAGAGUUUACGGUCGCGACGAUGGCUGCACGGCGGACAGCGGCUGUCUCUGGUGCAGAAUUGGGGGGUAAGAACGGCAACCGGAAUUGCACCCACGCGAAUUGAACUACGCGGAGAUAGUAUGAAAGAAGAGGCAGGGGAAUUUUGCAUUAAUUCUGAAUAUGGAUUGUUACAACUGAAAGACAUCAGCUUUUAUAGCUGUGAAUUACAAUAUAACAGACUCGAUCUCAGAUCUAACAAACUAAGGACUAAGACGCGUGAUGAUUUGAUCCAUGCUUUCCCCGCGUAUGCAUGCAUCCAUGCCUACGUGUUUAUUUAAUAUCCACCUAAUCGUUUAUUCUUCACCCCUCACUACGUUUCAUGCACCAGUCUCGAUCUGGAGCAGCAGCGGCUUAUUAACCACGGCGACGGCGGAAUUUCAGCGGCAGCGGCUGAGCAACGACUGCCCGUCCCCCUCGCUGCGUCGGCGUUUUUCCGCGAAGGAGACGACGGCGGUGGCUGAUUCUGGAGAUGGAAAUCGAGGUGCAGGGAACUCGACUGUGGCAGCGGCAGUCGCCAUCUCCGGCGAGUUGAGGAUGGCGACGGAAUUGAGGGUUUGCGAUUUGGGAGAAUUAGUGAAGAAGAGAAUGAGAGAGAGAGAGGGAGUGCCCGAUGGUGGAGAAAGGGAGAUGGAUGGGUGACUUCACGCACGUUUUUUGAGAACGAAAUGGAGCACAAGUAAAGACUUUAAACUAACGAGGUUGAGCGGUGACGAGCGCGGUGGGUGUUGAACAUGAAAGU